rnacentral:rRNA from 1 species
AGUCGAACGAUUAAAGCUCCCUUCGGGGAGUGCAUAAAGUGGCGCACGGGUGAGUAACACGUAAGUAAUCUACCCUCGGGUGGGGAAUAACGUUCGGAAACGGACGCUAAUACCGCAUAAUGCAGCGGCACCGCAAGGUGACAGUUGUUAAAGAUUUAUUGCCUGGGGAGGAGCUUGCGGCAGAUUAGCUUGUUGGUAAGGUAACGGCUUACCAAGGCGACGAUCUGUAUCCGGUCUAAGAGGACGGUCGGACACACUGACACUGAAUAACGGGUCAGACUCCUACGGGAGGCAGCAGUCGGGAAUUUUGGGCAAUGGGGGAAACCCUGACCCAGCAACGCCGCGUGAAGGAUGAAGUAUUUCGGUAUGUAAACUUCGAAAGAAUAGGAAGAAUUAAUGACGGUACUAUUUAUAAGGUCCGGCUAACUACGUGCCAGCAGCCGCGGUAAUACGUAGGGACCAAGCGUUGUUCGGAUUUACUGGGCGUAAAGGGCGCGUAGGCGGCGCGGUAAGUCACUUGUGAAAUCUCUGAGCUUAACUCAGAACGGCCAAGUGAUACUGCAGUGCUAGAGUGUGGAAGGGGCAAUCGGAAUUCUUGGUGUAGCGGUGAAAUGCGUAGAUAUCAAGAGGAACACCUGAGGUGAAGACGGGUCGCUGGGCCAACACUGACGCUGAUGCGCGAAAGCCAGGGGAGCAAACGGGAUUAGAUACCCCGGUAGUCCUGGCCCUAAACGAUGAAUACUUGGUGUCUGGAGUUUUAAUGCUCCGGGUGCCGUCGCUAACGUUUUUAGUAUUCCGCCUGGGGAGUACGCUCGCAAGAGUGAAACUCAAAGGAAUUGAC